UACGUAGGGGGCUAGCGUUAUCCGGAUUUACUGGGCGUAAAGGGUGCGUAGGCGGUCUUUCAAGUCAGGAGUGAAAGGCUACGGCUCAACCGUAGUAAGCUCUUGAAACUGUAAGACUUGAGUGCAGGAGAGGAGAGUGGAAUUCCUAGUGUAGCGGUGAAAUGCGUAGAGAUAUGGAGGAACACCAGUGGCGAAGGCGGCUUCCUGGUCUGUAACUGACACUGAGGCGCGAAAGCGUGGGGAGCAAACGGGAUUAGAUAUCCGCGUA
rnacentral:rRNA from 1 species